rnacentral:rRNA from 1 species
UACAGAGGUCUCAAGCGUUGUUCGGAAUCACUGGGCGUAAAGGGUGCGUAGGCGGCGAGGAAAGUCAGAUGUGAAAUCCGAGGGCUCAACCCUCGAAUAGCAUCCGAUACUUCCCUGCUCGAGAUUUGUAGAGGAGUCUGGAACUCUCGGUGUAGCAGUGAAAUGCGUGGAUAUCGGAAGAAGAACGCUCGUAGCGAAGGCGAGGCUCUGGGCAAGUUCUGACGCUGGAGGCAACGAAGGCUAGGGGAGCAAACGGG